UUCUAAUAUUCAAAUCAAUAUACCUAGAAAAUAUAGGUAUAUCGGUAUCCUCAUAUUAGGGUACACGAAUAUAUUACAGAAUAGCCUCUUCCUUUCCUCUACUAUGGUUUUGUAUACAUUUGAUCUUUAAAAUUUGAUGAUAUUGUCGACGUUAGAUUAGUUAGGAUUGGCGUAGUGGGAAUUCAAUCGCUCUGGUAGAAUAAAUUUUGUCGACCCCUCUAAAUCACCGCAAUGUUGAUUUAACCCAUUAAUGCCCAAGGUGUCCUCAAUAGAUUAUUCUAUCACUCAUUGCAAGUGGUAGAUGGUGCUACUAUUGCAUCGAUAUAAACACAUCAUACUUCCUUCUAAGUUUUCCCAAUUAUACACUACGACAGAAGCAUAAACGUGUUUCUAUGUGCUUGUAAAUAUGGACAUUCAAUUCAAUUCAAUUCAAUUUAUCCAUCAAUAGGUAUAAAUAUACAUCAGACAAAAACUUCACUUGCAGAAAUAUACAGCCUAAGCAAGCUUGUAUGCUGUCAUUAUCUGCUUCUACAACUGAUGAACAUUCUCCCCAGUUAUACAAAAAAUCAAUACAUUUAUUGAAAGAGAAACAACAAAAAUGUAGAUUACCAAUUGAAAGGCAUAACAGGUCAAAGAAAUGUAAAAAAAAACAACAGAAAACAAAAAAUUAUGUCGAUAGGAUGGCUUCGAACCUAUCAGAAUUAACAAACACACAAAUUCGGAGAUGAUAUCUGAAAAUUUUACUUUUUACAUUGGUUUUUGAUUUAAGUUCUUAGAUUAAGACAUAAAUGGGAAAAGUCAUCAGGUUUACAAAUUAUUAUUGGAAAAAACCUAUUUCAGUGACUGAACUUCUAAAUGAAGUGGUUAAUUUAUAUAUCAAUGAUGCACCAAUUCUUCCUAAUGAAAUAUAUAUUCCCCAUGAAAUGAACCUACUGUGAUUCAGAAGACGAGGGGGAAGCAAACCCAGCUGAAUUGAGCAGCUGACAGCUCAGAGCAGAAGGAGAACUCAUGAUUUGUUGAGAUAAUUUUUUUUAUCAUUGGCAUAAAAUGGAAAUACAAUAGUGUUGAAACCGUAUUAUUAAAUGAGUAUGAUGCUGAGCCUAAGUAAAAUGUAAAAGGAUCUCAGUAAAAGAUAUGAGGAAAAUAGAUGUGGCUCAACCGCAUGCAAUAAAAAUGUACUAGAUGUAAAGAAUUGCUAUAAAGGAAAAAAUGGUACAAGCCCAUAUUGCUUUGGAUGAUUGACUUAGCGUUUUUAGACGAGAAAUUUCACAAUACCUCCUAAAGAAAUGAGAAAGAAGAAAUGAACACAAUCAUUUUUAUAAAUAAAUUUUUUGAGAUAUUUGUAAAGGCCGAAAUAUAAUUCCACCGUU